rnacentral:rRNA from 1 species
UCGUAACAAGGUCUCCGUUGGUGAACCAGCGGAGGGAUCAUUACCGAGUUUACAACUCCCAAACCCCUGUGAACAUACCUAUACGUUGCCUCGGCGGAUCAGCCCGCGCCCCGUAAAACGGGACGGCCCGCCCGAGGACCCCUAAACUCUGUUUUUAGUGGAACUUUUGAGUAAAACAAACAAAUAAAUCAAAACUUUCAACAACGGAUCUCUUGGUUCUGGCAUCGAUGAAGAACGCAGCAAAAUGCGAUAAGUAAUGUGAAUUGCAGAAUUCAGUGAAUCAUCGAAUCUUUGAACGCACAUUGCGCCCGCCAGUAUUCUGGCGGGCAUGCCUGUUCGAGCGUCAUUUCAACCCUCAAGCUCAGCUUGGUGUUGGGACUCGCGGUAACCCGCGUUCCCCAAAUCGAUUGGCGGUCACGUCGAGCUUCCAUAGCGUAGUAUCAUACACCUCGUUAAUGGUAAUCGUCGCGGCCACGCCGUUACACCCCUACUUCUGAAUGCUGACCUCGGAUCAGGUAGGAAUACCCGCUGAACUUAAGCAUAUCGAUGAGCGGAGGAACAGCAGCCAUCAGCGAUUGCCCGAGUAACGGCGAGUGAAGCGGCAACAGCUCAAAUUUGAAAUCUGGCUCUCGGGCCCGAGUUGUAAUUUGUAGAGGAUGCUUUUGAUGCGGUGUCUUCCGAGUUCCCUGGAACGGGACGCCAUAGAGGGUGAGAGCCCCGUCUGGUUGGAUGCCAAAUCUCUGUAAAGCUCCUUCGACGAGUCGAGUAGUUUGGGAAUGCUGCUCUAAAUGGGAGGUAUAUGUCUUCUAAAGCUAAAUACCGGCCAGAGACCGAUAGCGCACAAGUAGAGUGAUCGAAAGAUGAAAAGCACUUUGAAAAGAGAGUUAAAAAGUACGUGAAAUUGUUGAAAGGGAAGCGUUUAUGACCAGACUUGGGCUUGGUUAAUCAUCUGGGGUUCUCCCCAGUGCACUUUUCCAGUCCAGGCCAGCAUCAGUUUUCGCCGGGGGAUAAAGGCUUCGGGAAUGUGGCUCUCUCCGGGGAGUGUUAUAGCCCGUUGCGUAAUACCCUGGCGGGGACUGAGGUUCGCGCAACUGCAAGGAUGCUGGCGUAAUGGUCAU